CUAAAAUGUUGGCGGUAACAUAUCAAAAUCAUAUUUUUGACAUGACUAAAUCAAUAUAAUUAUAUACAUAACAGCAACAAAAGUCAAUUAAAGGGUGAAAUCAGGUAGAAACAGGUCACAACUGCACACUUUCACUUUUUGCAGGUAUAUGUAAAAAUAUCAGUUUUACUUCAUUUGAAAUUUCCCAUAGUGGAAAAGAGAAAUGCAUCAUCACAGAACUCAUUUGUCAAGCGUUAUCAGGGAGACUGUCAGUUAAAAAUGCAGGUCCGUGCGGGGUGAGCAUGGUGCCGGGUCACUCCCUCACACACGUGACUUAUGAACAUGUCCACCAGACAAACACACCAUCCUAAACAACGGAUUUACACUCUCCCCUGAUGACACUCAUUCAAUCAUGUAUAUUAAUCUGUAAUCUCAAAUAGCUCAUUUAACAGAAAUGCAGAUGUCGAGCGGGAUAAACAUGGAAACUAUCGGCUGUCUCUCAUUCAGAGGCUGGUCAAACCUCGUCAGAUAUCAGCGGCGUUCACCGGUUAACUUCCUCCCACUCGACAUCUGCAUUCCUGAACCCGUCCAGAGAAACUCACACUCAAACCAUCACUGCAACUUCAGCUCGACGCGAGCGCUCAUGCUGUUUCUGAUGCUUUAUAAAAACCUGAGACAGAAGAAGAUCUGUACCAUGUAUCUGGUGUCACACUAUGUUGUGAUGUUUUUCUGGAGUGCUGUCUGUGUGAGACCACAGGACCCUCUGUCACUGAACCCCACUAAUGCAGCAUCACCACCAUGUUUCAUUCCGCCUGGAGAUGUCCCAUAUACUAAAUGUGUUAUAGAUGUACAUCAUGGAAGCAAGGACACCAUCCCAAUGCCAUCGAGUGCAGUUACCAAGCCAGUUCCCACUACAGUCUUUACCACAGUCAUCAAUCCAACAUCUACAACUUUGGAAUCAAGUACAACGGCACCAAAACCAGCAACCAGCACACCUACAGUACAUCCAUCUCCAAAUUCAACAGAGGAGAAAAAGUUCACGACCAAAACUCCAACACAGAGUCCCAUGAUAGUGGGUGAAACAGUGCUUAAAAAUCAUUCAGACAGACAGAACACAACUGAAUCCACUACCUGCGCCUCUGUCUGGAUGGGUGUAAACACAAAGCUGUAUCUGUACAGUCUGUUAGCGGUGUGUGGCGUCCUGAUGGUGAUCAUAGCCACACUGAGCUUCUGCCUGUAUAAACAGUGUAAGAAACAACCAGUGGAGAACCCAAAUCUAACCAGACUAAUCUCCAUCCCCAAUCCAGCAUUUUCCAACCCAUAAAGAACAAAAGGAGUGGAGGAACUUACCUUAUUCUGCACACAGCUGCACGAGGCCUGGCUUACAGUAGAUACAGCUGUGAAGAGGAAAUUAUUGGAAAAAUGCCCAAAAACCCUCUCCGAGUUAAAGUUGAUUUUGUAUUUAUUUACCGAAAGCAAUUUUUCCCAAAUAAUUUCAUAUAUAUUCCAAAACCUUGCCUGCAUAAUAGCUGGACGUGAAGCUCCGCUAGGCAAGACCAGAAUUUUGUGCAUUUACAAAAUUGAUAAUUGAUUUUAUGCAUAAAUGUGCUCAACCAAGACCAAAUUAAAAUAAGAACACAGAAUCGAGAGGUGAUUUAAAACACAAAAGAAUAUAGAUAUAUACUGACAAUUUGAUGGUUUUAUCAGCAAUAAUAUGCAAAAAUAAUCUGUUUAUUUCAGACACUUAUACAGGCCUGUCACAUCAUGAAUUUUGUGCUGAUGAUUAAUUGUCAUACAGAUUAUAGCAAUUAACAAUUUUAUUUUGUUUUGUUCAUGUCACUUACAGUGUAAGAAUACUACAUUUUUUACUGUAUACUAUAUAAUAAAAUUUAUAAUACAAAUAGAUCCAUAUGACUUACUCUAAUGCAUUAAAAAAUUAAUAAUAUUUAUAUAAUGAAUGAUUUAUUAUAACAAUAUAAAUAAUUGUUUAGAAAAAAUAUAAAUUUUCACAGUAAAACAUACAUUUAUUUAAUGAUAUAAAUAUAUUAUAUAUAUAUAUAUAUAUAUGCACAUAGAUAUAAACGUAUAUAUACGUAUUUAAUUUAGAAAAAAAAUAUGUAAUUUAUAAUACAAUUUAGACAAAAUGUAUGUUAAUGUUCAAACUAAAUUAAUUUAAUGUAAUUUGAGAAGUAUAGAAAAUAAAUAGACCUAUAUUUUUGUCUUUUAAAACUAGUACAGUAUGAAUAACAAGUUUCACUUUAAUGGAUUUGAUUAUUACAUUGAAAUAUUUAAUGACUAACUAAAACAGCUGGUCGAUUUGUAUAGUGAUUCUAAACCAACUACUUCAGUAUGAAAGCAGAUUAUUCUUUGCAGUUCACAGUCUUGUGCAAUUUGGACUUUGCUCCUCAUAUUCAUGUAAAUACCUAAGCAAUGAAUCAGAAUGUUUUCCACUUUUCGACUAUAUCUAUAGUUUUAUUUCUCCUUAAAGGAAAUGGUACACUGUGAUUCUAAUGUCUGUAAAAUGUUGGAGUAAAAGGCUGUUAAACACCAAUACAAAUCUAGUCACACUACAAUACAUUCUACUUUGAAAUCAUUUUCUUUUUAAACUUGUUAACACAUUAUAAACACAACUGUGUAUUUGAUGUCCUAUUUUUUUUUAUUUUCAAAACUGACCCACAGUUCAUUAAAAUGAUUUUAAAAAUG